GACGAACGCUGGCGGCGUGCCUAAUACAUGCAAGUAGAACGCUGAAGAGAGGAGCUUGCUCUUCUUGGAUGAGUUGCGAACGGGUGAGUAACGCGUAGGUAACCUGCCUUGUAGCGGGGGAUAACUAUUGGAAACGAUAGCUAAUACCGCAUAACAAUGGAUGACACAUGUCAUUUAUUUGAAAUGGGCAUUUCUCCACUUAAAAAAUGACCUGCGUUGUAUUAGCUAGUAGGUGAGGUAAUGGCUCACCUAGGCGACGAUACAUAGCCGACCUGAGAGGGUGAUCGGCCACACUGGGACUGAGACACGGCCCAGACUCCUACGGGAGGCAGCAGUAGGGAAUCUUCGGCAAUGGGGGCAACCCUGACCGAGCAACGCCGCGUGAGUGAAGAAGGUUUUCGGAUCGUAAAGCUCUGUUGUAAGUCAAGAACGGGUGUGAGAGUGGAAAGUUCACACUGUGACGGUAGCUUACCAGAAAGGGACGGCUAACUACGUG
rnacentral:rRNA from 1 species